AUGUCAAAUGAAGGCCUCUGGAUGUUGGACAGUCAUGAGGAUGCAGGGGAAAUCCAGUACGCGUCUCUGGGUGUGCAGCACUGGAGAGAGACAGACAGACAGACAGCUGAGCAGCAGACAGCAUGUCAUUUACUCCACACUCAUAAAAACACUCAUCUCUUCAUUCAUCAUUUACACUGCACACGUACAGUCCAUAUGAGUGAUUUUCAAUGAUAAGUGAAAAUAAACCGAAAACAUCUUUAUAUGUCA
ensembl:lncRNA